rnacentral:rRNA from 1 species
GAGAGUUAAACAGUACGUGAAAUUGUUGAAAGGGAAACGAUUGAAGUCAGUCAUACCAACGGGAAAUCAACCUCUUGAGUUUGGUCUCGUGGGUUUCGAAGAGUUUAAAAGCCUUCGGAUUUUCGAGAUUGGGCUCUUCUGGUGUACUUUCUCGUACGGUUAGUCAACAUCGGUUUUGAAUGUCAUAAAAUGACUGGAGGAAUGUGGCUUCGAUCUCGUAUUGAAGUGUUAUAGCCUUUGGUAGAUGUGAUGUUCGAGACCGAGGAUUGCAACGGAUACCCUUCUGGGCUAUUCGUCUGAUCUCUGAAACGUUGCCUUGAUGUCGAAAGCUUGCUUAUGAUGUUAAGGGUAUUACGGUCAAAAGGUUAGAACGGAUUAAAUUCGUUAAGGAUGUUGACGUAAUGACUUUAAACGA